rnacentral:rRNA from 1 species
UACGUAGGGUGCGAGCGUUACUCGGAAUUACUGGGCGUAAAGCGUGCGCAGGCGGUUCGUUAAGUCAGAUGUGAAAGCCCCGGGCUCAACCCGGGAACUGCGUCCGAUACUGGAAGGCUUGAAUCCGGGAGAGGGAUGUGGAAUUCCAGGUGUAGCGGUGAAAUGCGUAGAUAUCUGGAGGAACACCGGUGGCGAAGGCGACAUCCUGGACCGGUAUUGACGCUGAGGCGCGAAAGCCAGGGGAGCAAACGGG